rnacentral:rRNA from 1 species
AUUCAUGUCCAUGGCCCUGAACAAGCCUGAUCUCAGAAGCUAAGCAUGGUUGGGCCUGGUUAGUACUUGGAUGGGAGACCACCUAGGAAGAUCAGGUGCUGUAGGCA